GAGCUAAUACCGGAUACGUGCGAGAGCAGAAAGAUUUAUCGCCGAAAGAUCGGCCCGCGUCCGAUUAGCUAGUUGGUGAGGUAACGGCUCACCAAGGCGACGAUCGGUAGCUGGUCUGAGAGGAUGAUCAGCCACACUGGGACUGAGACACGGCCCAGACUCCUACGGGAGGCAGCAGUGGGGAAUAUUGGACAAUGGGCGCAAGCCUGAUCCAGCCAUGCCGCGUGAGUGAUGACGGCCUUAGGGUUGUAAAGCUCUUUCGCCAGGGACGAUAAUGACGGUACCUGGAUAAGAAGCCCCGGCUAACUUCGUGCCAGCAGCCGCGGUAAUACGAAGGGGGCUAGCGUUGUUCGGAAUCACUGGGCGUAAAGCGCACGUAGGCGGAUCUUUAAGUCAGGGGUGAAAUCCCGAGGCUCAACCUCGGAACUGCCUUUGAUACUGGGGAUCUCGAGUUCGGGAGAGGUGAGUGGAACUGCGAGUGUAGAGGUGAAAUUCGUA
rnacentral:rRNA from 1 species